UUACGGCCAUAUCACAUUGAAACAUUGGUUCUCAUACGAUCACUGAAGUUAAGCAACAUCAAGCAUGGCCAGUAUCUAAAUAGGGGACCACUUGGGACUACCAGGUGCU